ACCAAGUGAGAGAAAUGCAGAUAGCAGGUGCAAUGCUGACCUGCUUUAUACAAGCUUUUCAAUUUCGAAAUUUGAUGAGUUUGCAAUUUGCUGCGAUGCAUGUUCAGUUGUUAGAUUAGUGUUGUACUGUGGUAGGCUGAGGACCAUAAUUUGUAACUUGUACCAGAAGUCGACAAGUUGGGUUCCUCAGCCUACCACAGUACAACACUAAU
rnacentral:misc_RNA from 1 species